GCCCCGUCCUUCUUUGCAUAUCUUGGUUCCCCUGCCAUAAAGUCUUUUACAUAUUCGCAGCUCCAGUGUCGUGGGCGGAUGGAUGGACGAAUGCUUUCGUGAGCGCUUUUCCCUUGUCAACCAGUUUCAGGCCACGUUCACAGCUUUGCUUUGUUUUACAUCCUGGUAGAUAAAAUGGAACUCAUGGACCAGCAGGUACGGAGCUUGAAAUUUUCAGGGGGUGUGGAAAUAAGAUAAAAACUGGGAGGGGGACAAACCAGAAGGGACUCUUAAAUACUGCGAACAAACUGAAGGUUGAUGGGAGGGCGGGAGGGAGGGGGAAGUUGGGGAUGGGCACUGAGGAGGGCACCUGUUGGGAUGAGUCCUGGGUGUUGUAUGGAACCCCAUUUGACAAUCAAUUAUAUUUACUAGGAAACAAAUUUUCCCCAGGUACUUCUCAAGAACAAACAGCAAAUCUAUCAAUGAAUAAUUAAUAGAUGCCAUGAUGCCACCUAAAAUAUUUGCUGUCAAAAGCGACUUACCAGAAGCGUUCUCAAACUAGAUUGUGGUAAUAGUUUCAAACUCAACACAUCUACUGAAAGCCGUUGAAUUGUGUACUUAAAGUGAAUGAACUUUCGUGAAUUAUACCUCAACAAAGCUGUUUUUAAAGUGAAGACAGAGA
rnacentral:lncRNA from 1 species